GUGUUACAGCACAUAUACUAAAAUUGGAACAACACAGAGAAGAUUAGCAUAGCCCCUGCAUAAGGAGGACUUGCAAAUUUGUGAAGUGUUCCAUAUUUUU
ensembl:snRNA U6 U6 spliceosomal RNA